rfam:Burkholderia sp. ST111 contig_30, whole genome shotgun sequence.
GCCUUCGCGAGGCGGAGUCUGCAGGAAGUGUGUUGCAAAGACUCGACUUGAUGAACAGAAACCAGAUGAGAAUCCUACCCGGGCGGGCGAAUGAUCGCGAAGUCCCUAACUAUCAACGGCCAGGGUGAUAGAUCUCGCAGAUAUAUGGGAGGACGGUUGAGCCU